rnacentral:tRNA from 1 species
GCCGCAGUAGCUCAGUAGUAGAGCAAAUCCCUGAAGAGGAUUGUGUCGGGGGUGCGAUUCCCUCCUGCGGCA